rnacentral:lncRNA from 1 species
AAUAAUGAGGUCUACUAGCCUUGACUCCACUAAGACUAGGCUUAACAUCUUCAUGGUGGUGGUACCCUCGAGAUGAUCAACCAAGGUUAAAAAUAUAAACACCUCAUUGAUGAUGUCUCUUCUCUGCUCAAAGGCCCUUUAACUUUUAACUGUCAUGUGCUUACCUCCUAGUAGUGGAGCUCACAUGAGACAAAAUAUUCUGAAAGAUAACAGCCCCACAG